GAUGCUUGCCUAGUGUUAGAAGGUUAAGGAAGUUGGUGACCUAAUGACAAGAAACUGACAACCGAAUCCUCGGUGAACAACGAUUGUAACUAUAACGGUCCUAAGGUAGCACAAUUUCUUGUCAAGUAAGUUCAAACUGGUACAAAAAACA
rfam:Glycine max cultivar Williams 82 chromosome 7, whole genome shotgun sequence.